UGGAGAGAAGGGGAAUUCAGGGUGUCCAGGACUAUUAGGAACAAAGGGGAAACCAGGAGACUCUGGGAACUUUGGUCUUCCAGGAGUAUGUGGCCCCUGUGGCCCUAAAGGACACUCUGGGCCCCCGGGAUGCAGAGAAAACCUCCAGUGGAAGUCGUCCAGGCAAAUCCCGACCAAAUAUCCGAACCAUCUCAACUGUCUCCAUUCGAUAUGAAGGAGUAGCAGCUCAACACUGAACUCUUCACCCAUGAAACAUGAAGAGAUGAAAACUGAAGAUACUGGAACCUUACUCACAUUAACACAUGACACCUUAACUUCACAGUUUCUUUAUUGUCUGGAAAUUGUUUUAACUUUGACUGGAAACUUGACUAAAUGAACGUCUAUGCUAAGCU